CCCAUAUAAGCAGAGCAGGAGGAGCCCAGCCCCAAGCUGGGCCCAUUGCGGGCCAAGGGAUCCUCCGCCGGCAUCCCAGGUUCUGCGGUGGAUGCAGACAUGGAGCAGGAGCAGAACUGGAGCUGGGAACCGACCAGGAGCAGCAGCUGGGAAUGGAACUGGUAACGGAGCAGAAGCGGGCUGGCUGGAGGAGCACAGGGGCCGGAGCUGCAUUCAGCUGCCCGGGGGCAGGCAGCGCUGCCAGGACCCUGGCGCACACCCGCACAGGCUGUGCCGUGCCCCGGCAGGAGCUUUUGCAGCAGCUGCUCUCCGCUGCGGGUUCAGUGUCCUGCUGCAAGGAGGCUCUGCCUGCAGCUCAGAGCUGCCUUGCACCGUCUAAAGGGGCUCUCCAGGAAGGAGUCCCUCAGCCUGCUCUCAGCUCUCCUUCAGCUGCUGAAACGUAGCUCGAAGGUCUCCCUGGAGCCUUCUCCUCUCCAGGCUGAGCAGCCACAGCUCUCUCAGGCUGCCUUCACAGCAGAGCUUCUCCCACCCUCUGCUCAUGUUUGUGGCCUGCUCUGGAAGCCCUCCAGCAGCUCCCUGGCUCCCUUGUGUUGGGGGUGCCCCAGAGCUGGCCACAGCAGUCCAGGCUGAGGUCUCCCCAAAGCAGAGGGGCAGAUGUUUCACAAGCACAGACACCACAGGAUGCCCAACGACCUUCCCACACUGCAGCUACAGGUUUCAGUCAGAUCCUUUUAGUAUCAAAGCUGAGAGACUUGAGGGCUAAGGCACCAGCAGCACUGUCCUGGAAGCCCAGUACUUGAUUCUGGAGCACUGAAUCAUCACAGAACGAUACACCUGCAAGUCUGAGUGCCCAAGAACAUAAAUGACACUUACCCAAAUAGUCUUCACAACAAUGAUGCUGUUGUUUGGGCAAGAAGCUGUUUAAACAUGAAAUAUGUUGUUCCCAGGGACACACAUUAGUACAUCUCAUAAUUACCCUCUCAAAAGUGUGGUUGGCAGAUUUAUCAUCAAGAUAAUAACCUACUUCUUCAAGGAGCUCAGAGCUAAUCAUUUAAUUAA